rnacentral:rRNA from 1 species
UACGUAGGGCGCAAGCGUUGUCCGGAAUUAUUGGGCGUAAAGAGCUCGUAGGCGGUUUGUCGCGUCUGCUGUGAAAACCUAAGGCUCAACCUUGGGCUUGCAGUGGGUACGGGCAGACUAGAGUGCGGUAGGGGUGACUGGAAUUCCUGGUGUAGCGGUGGAAUGCGCAGAUAUCAGGAGGAACACCAAUGGCGAAGGCAGGUCACUGGGCUGCAACUGACGCUGAGGAGCGAAAGCAUGGGGAGCGAACGGG